rnacentral:rRNA from 1 species
AGGAUAAACGCUGGCGGCGUGCCUAACACAUGCAAGUCGAACGCGCUUUUGUCGCAAGAGAGAAGCGAGUGGCGGACGGGUGAGUAACACAUGGGUACCUACCCCACAGUGAGGGAUACCGGCGAGAAAUCGCCGACAAUACCGCAUACGCUUCCCCCUUUCACAAGAGGGAAGCAAAGUUGCGCAAGCGACGCUGAGGGAUGGGCCUGUGGCCGAUUAGCUAGUUGGGGGGUAAUGGCCUCCCAAGGCGACGAUCGGUAGCUGGUCUGAGAGGACGAUCAGCCACACUGGGAUUGAGAACGGCCCAGACUCCUACGGGGGCAGCAGUGAGGAAUUUUCCGCAAUGGAGGCAACUCUGACGGAGCAACGCCGCGUGCAGGACGAAGGUUUUCGGAUCGUAAACUGUCUUUUCUCGGGGACGAGCGAAGGACGGUACCCGAGGAAGAACGCCCCGGCUAACUACGUGCCAGCAGCCGC